rnacentral:lncRNA from 1 species
CUGUCUUUUCUAUGUCUUCUUCUAGUAGAGAGUCUGAUGAGAAUCCGAUCGGUGAUCGGAGUUCUCAGGCUCCAACAAUUCAGAGGAUGACCAUGGAGAUUACUUAAGAUGAGCCCGAUGGGGUGUCUUCUCGGCAGGGUCAGUCAGAUCCAAAUAAGUCAGAUAAACAGUCGACUAUCGAGAACACUAUUGAACCUCUCAUGGAGAGGUCCGAGCUGACUGAGUCGGUAGUUGAUCGACUAGGGGGACAUUAUCAUAUCCCUAGUCGGUAUUGGUUGAUGGCGCC